rnacentral:rRNA from 1 species
UACGUAGGGUGCGAGCGUUGUCCGGAAUUACUGGGCGUAAAGAGCUCGUGGGUGGUUUGUCGCGUUGUUCGUGAAAACUCACAGCUUAACUGUGGGCGUGCGGGCGAUACGGGCAGACUUGAGUACUGCAGGGGAGACUGGAAUUCCUGGUGUAGCGGUGGAAUGCGCAGAUAUCAGGAGGAACACCGGUGGCGAAGGCGGGUCUCUGGGACGGUACUGACGCUGAGACGCGAAAGCGUGGGGAGCGAACAGG